GGCUAACGCUGGCGGCGCGCCUAACACAUGCAAGUCGAACGAACCUUCGGGUUAGUGGCAGACGGGUGAGUAACGCGUGGAUAAUGUGCCUCUUUGCUGGGGAUACCGUUUCGAAAGGAACGUUAAUACCGAAUGUGCUGAUUUGGUGGCAUCACCGAGUUAGUAAACUGAUUUAGGGUGAAGAGAGCAAUCCGCGUUCUAUCAGCUUGUUGGUGGGGUAACGGCCUACCAAGGCUACGACGGAUAACUGGUCUGAGAGGAUGAUCAGUCACACUGGAACUGAGACACGGUCCAGACUCCUACGGGAGGCAGCAGUGAGGAAUCUUGCACAAUGGGCGAAAGCCUGAUGCAGCGACGCCGCGUGAGGGACGAAGGCCUUCGGGUUGUAAACCUCUGUCAGUAGGGAAGAAGAUUGACGGUACCUACUGAGGAAGCUUCGGCUAACUACGUG
rnacentral:rRNA from 1 species